CGACCGGGCGGUGUGGCCGGACGGGCUCGGCCCGCUCGCGGAGCGGGUGCACGGGCUCGGCAUGCAGCUCGGGCUGUGGUUCGAGCCCGAGAUGGUCAGCC
rnacentral:tRNA from 1 species